rnacentral:lncRNA from 1 species
UUUAUACAUGGGCUGCAAUGGAACAGAAGUUACGACCUCAUAUGUGAAUGUCUAGGAUUUGUUUUUUCCUUCCACCAGCCCACCUGGAAUGACUUUAGCUUUCAGCUUUACCUCAGGCUGUACCCAGGUUAGCUUCUAGUGACUUAUGACUCCAUCAAUCUGCACAGAUAUGUGCUGUGCUCCUUCAAGGGAAGCUGUUCAUCUUCUAUAUGACUGCAUCUCCACCUCUUCCAAAGUUCAAAGAACCCAGGACAAUUGCUUAUUCGGACGGGCUUCCAGUUACCAGAAAACGUUGUAAUGUUGAUACUACUUGGGAAGGCUUUGACUGUCCAGCAUCCGUACUGACAGCAUUAAUUAAAGAAAUUCUGAGCCAGUAAAACAGGGUAAGACACCAAUGUGAGAAAAACCUACAGCCAACACAUCCCCAAACCCAGAGUUAGGUUUUGUUUAAUGUAGAAGACAAAAGUCAUGGAAAGAAGGUUAUUCAACUGCUGGUAGCCAAAUGUCCAGUGGUAGGUCUUAAACCUAGUGAUUCAGAGCUUAACAGUGAAGAAGUCUUUUUCUUUACACUAUCCAGAAGGAUGAAUGAUGGUUUCCAAUUGAAUACUUCUAAAAUUAGAUCUGACUAGUACUUGGUGGGAAAGUUCACCUCACCUAAUGGAUCAUUUUUAGGCCAAACGCAGCUUUCAUUGAAGGCAAUGAAAAUGCUUUCAUUGACUUCAACAGAUUUUGAUUUGGGUCUCUAUCAAGUAAGCUACAUGUACGUUCUGGAGAAUCAAGGAAAAAAACAUUUAUAUGGUAAUUUGUAGUGGUUUUGAAGUUCUUUUAGGGAUUACAAAAAUAAGCUAAAUUUUUUGUUCAAACCUGAGAUUUUAUACCCUAUUAGUCAAUAACAUGGACUGAAACUUUUCAUACUGUCCAAAAAAUACUAGAUACAUUUAAAAAUAGCUCCUGAGGAAGGAGAGCCACCUACCAUUUCCACUGUUUUUCAGCUGCACAAAGUGUUACUAUACUGCUUUAGUGAUGACUAUUUUUACUCUUUCUUUACAAAGCCUGCAUUGGAAGGUGCAAUAAUCCCCUAACCUCAAUGCAAAUCUCAGAGGGUUGAAGGCUGGCAUGGAGGAUGCCAAUCCAGGUGUGGUGCUUUCUGCAGAGCACGGUAGAAGUUAUGGAUGAGUUAUAGGGUGGCAGAAGCACACACAUUGCAUGGCCAACUUGCAGCUAAAAAUGGCUUAAUAUCAAAACACAGCAUUUUACAAGCAGGCAGUUAAUCCUUCAUAGGGGCCAGGUGCCUGUUUUGAAUACGGAGGGACAAAUCUGAUGGGGGAGACUUUUAUUUUCCUACCCAUUUCUUCCACAAAAU